GUCUCUAUGGCUCCGACCGAGGGGCGGAGCCGCUGCUCGAGCUGCUGCUGGAUUGAACUCAGAGAAGCCGGGGCUGCUUUGACUCUCCCGCGAAGACCUUUCCUUCACUGUUCUACUGUGAUUCCCGUUGUGGUUCUGACCCUGAAAUUUACUAUGCACCUUUUCAAGCUCAAAGACUCAUGGUGCUUUCUUCCCUGGAUGUUAUUUAUAUCCUGGACUUCACAUCAUAUCCGAGAUGGGAUUCGUCAUGGAACCAGACAAAUGAUGUCUUCAAAACAUGGAGUUCGUAUUGAUGUCUGAGGUACACGGCAGUCUUAGAGAAGCAAAUGGCUCAGAUGAUGAUAAUUAAGAGUAGCCAACAUUAAAGUUAAUUUUUAAAAAUACAGUUAGGUGUUUAUAUUAUUUAGUUAUUAUAAUUCUGCAAUCCUCUUGCUCAGGAAGUGUAUACAACUUUUUUAAAAAUUAUACUUGUUAUUAUUCUACUUCUCUCUUCUAUGACAACUCUAGUGCAAUAUUAGAGUUUCAUUUAUUCCACAAUAUAUUUUUACUGUUUUUUUCUAUUUAUCUGGCUUUACUAGUAGUUCUUUUAGAUUAACAUCCAGUUCAUUUUCUGGAAAUAUACCUGGAAU
rnacentral:lncRNA from 1 species